rnacentral:rRNA from 1 species
UAGAGUUUGAUCCUGGCUCAGAACGUACGCUGGCGGCACGCCUAACACAUGCAAGUCGAACGAAGUAGCAAUACUUAGUGGCAGACGGGUGAGUAACAUGUAGGUAUCUGCCCUUUGGCCUGGAAUAACACGAGGAAACUUGUGCUAAUACCGGAUAAGUCUUUACAGAGAAAGCUUUAUGCACCAUUGGAUGAGCCUGCACUUGAUUAGUUUGUUGGUGGGGUAAUGGCCUACCAAGACUGUGAUCAAUAGCUGAUUUGAGAGGAUGAUCAGCCACAUUGGGACUGAGACACGGCCCAAACUCCUACGGGAGGCAGCAGUGGGGAAUCUUGCACAAUGGAGGAAACUCUGAUGCAGCGAUGCCGCGUGAGUGAAGAAGGCCUUUGGGUUGUAAAGCUCUUUCGUCGGGGAAGAAAAUGACUGUACCCGAAUAAGAAGGUCCGGCUAACUUCGUGCCAGCAGCCGCGGUAAUACGAAGGGACCUAGCGUAGUUCGGAAUUACUGGGCUUAAAGAGUUCGUAGGUGGUUGAAAAAGUUGGUGGUGAAAUCCCAGAGCUUAACUCUGGAACUGCCAUCAAAACUUUUCAGCUAGAGUAUGAUAGAGGAAAGCAGAAUUUCUAGUGUAGAGGUGAAAUUCGUAGAUAUUAGAAAGAAUACCAAUUGCGAAGGCAGCUUUCUGGAUCAUUACUGACACUGAGGAACGAAAGCAUGGGUAGCGAAGAGGAUUAGAUACCCUCGUAGUCCAUGCCGUAAACGAUGUGUGUUAGACGUUGGAAAUUUAUUUUCAGUGUCGCAGCGAAAGCGAUAAACACACCGCCUGGGGAGUACGACCGCAAGGUUAAAACUCAAAUGAAUUGACGGGGACCCGCACAAGUAGUGGAGCAUGUGGUUUAAUUCGAAGAUACGCGCAGAACCUUACCAACACUUGACAUGUUCGUCGCGACUCUAAGAGAUUAGAGUUUUCGGUUCGGCCGGACGAAACACAGGUGCUGCAUGGCUGUCGUCAGCUCGUGUCGUGAGAUGUUGGGUUAAGUCCCGCAACGAGCGCAACCCUCACUUUUAGUUGCCAUCAUUAAGUUGGGCACUCUGAAAGAACUGCCAGUGAUAAGCUGGAGGAAGGUGGGGAUGACGUCAAGUCCUCAUGGCCCUUACGUGUUGGGCUACACACGUGCUACAAUGGUAUCUACAACAGGAAGCAAGACGGCGACGUUAAGCAAAUCCUUAAAAGAUACCUCAGUUCGGAUUGCACUCUGCAACUCGAGUGCAUGAAGCUGGAAUUACUAGUAAUCGUGGAUCAGCGUGCCACGGUGAAUGCGUUCCCGGGUCUUGUACACACCGCCCGUCACACCAUGGGAGUUGGUUCUACCUUAAGGCAAGGUUUCAAACCCUUGACCACGGUAUAGUCAGCGACUGGGGUGAAGUCGUAACAAGGUAACCA